AGGGAUCAUUACAGAGUUCAUGCCCUCCGGGUANAUCUCCCACCCACUGUNAUCACUACUCUNGUUGCUUUGGCGGGCCGUUGGGCCCUGCCCGGCCACCGGCUCCGGCUGGCGCGUGCCCGCNAGAGGCUCCAUAGACUCUGAAUAUNAGUGUCGUCUNAGUAUUAUAUAAUCGUUAAAACUUUCAACAACGNAUCUCUUGGUUCUGGCAUCGAUGAAGAACGCAGCGAAAUGCGAUAAGUAAUGCGAAUUGCAGAAUUCAGUGAGUCAUCGAAUCUUUGAACGCACAUUGCGCCCUGUGGUAUUCUGCAGGGCAUGCCUGUUCGAGCGUCAUUUCAACCCUCAAGCUCUGCUUGGUAUUGGGCCCUGCCUGCUAUGGCCGGCCCUAAAAAUAGUGGCGGCGCCGCCUGGCCCUCAGCGUAGUACAGCUCUCGCUCCAGGGUCUGGUAGUAGCCUGCCAGAACUCCUAACUCUGUGGUUGACCUCGGAUCAGGUAGGGAUACCCGCUGAACUUAA
rnacentral:rRNA from 1 species